rnacentral:rRNA from 1 species
AGGGUUUGAUCCUGGCUCAGGACGAACGCUGGCGGCGUGCCUAACACAUGCAAGUCGAGCGGAGUUGAUCGACGGAAGCCUUCGGGCGGAAGAUGAUUAACUUAGCGGCGGAUGGGUGAGUAACGCGUGGGCAACCUGCCUCGAAGACCGGGAUAACAGUUCGAAAGGGCUGCUAAUACCGGAUGUGGUCAAGUGUCAGCAUGGGCAUUUGAUUAAAGGGGAAACCCGUUUCGAGAUGGGCCCGCGUCCUAUCAGCUAGUUGGUGAGGUAAAGGCUCACCAAGGCAAUGACGGGUAGCCGGCCUGAGAGGGUGACCGGCCACACUGGAACUGAGACACGGUCCAGACUCCUACGGGGGGCAGCAGUGGGGAAUCUUCCACAAUGGGCGAAAGCCUGAUGGAGCGACGCCGCGUGAGCGAAGAAGGCCUUCGGGUUGUAAAGCUCUGUCUGGAGGGACGAAGAAAGUGACGGUACCUCCGGAGGAAGCCACGGCUAACUACGUGCCAGCCGCCGCGGUAAUAC